UACGUAGGGGGCGAGCGUUGUCCGGAUUUAUUGGGCGUAAAGCGCUCGCAGGCGGUCCGAUGCGUCCUGUGUGAAAUCCCCCGGCUCAACUGGGGAACUGUACAGGAAACUGCGAGGCUUGAGUUCGGGAGAGGGAAGCGGAAUUCCGGGUGUAGCGGUGAAAUGCGUAGAUAUCCGGAGGAACACCGGUGGCGAAGGCGGCUCACUGGUCCGGUACUGACGCUGAUGUGCGAAAAGCGUGGGGGAGCGAACAGGG
rnacentral:rRNA from 1 species